UACGUAGGGUGCAAGCGUUGUCCGGAAUUAUUGGGCGUAAAGAGCUCGUAGGCGGCUUGUCGCGUCGGCUGUGAAAACCUGGGGCUCAACCCCGGGCCUGCAGCCGAUACGGGCAAGCUAGAAUUCGGUAGGGGAGACUGGAAUUCCUGGUGUAGCGGUGAAAUGACGCAGAUAUCAGGAGGAACACCGGUGGCGAAGGCGGAUCUCUGGGCCGAUACUGACGCUGAGGCACGAAGGCCAGGGGAGCAAACGGG
rnacentral:rRNA from 1 species